ACAUGCAAGUCGAGCGAAUGGAUUAAGAGCUUGCUCUUAUGAAGUUAGCGGCGGACGGGUGAGUAACACGUGGGUAACCUGCCCAUAAGACUGGGAUAACUCCGGGAAACCGGGGCUAAUACCGGAUAACAUUUUGAACCGCAUGGUUCGAAAUUGAAAGGCGGCUUCGGCUGUCACUUAUGGAUGGACCCGCGUCGCAUUAGCUAGUUGGUGAGGUAACGGCUCACCAAGGCAACGAUGCGUAGCCGACCUGAGAGGGUGAUCGGCCACACUGGGACUGAGACACGGCCCAGACUCCUACGGGAGGCAGCAGUAGGGAAUCUUCCGCAAUGGACGAAAGUCUGACGGAGCAACGCCGCGUGAGUGAUGAAGGCUUUCGGGUCGUAAAACUCUGUUGUUAGGGAAGAACAAGUGCUAGUUGAAUAAGCUGGCACCUUGACGGUACCUAACCAGAAAGCCACGGCUAACUACGUGCCAGCAGCCGCGGUAAUACGUAGGUGGCAAGCGUUAUCCGGAAUUAUUGGGCGUAAAGCGCGCGCAGGUGGUUUCUUAAGUCUGAUGUGAAAGCCCACGGCUCAACCGUGGAGGGUCAUUGGAAACUGGGAGACUUGAGUGCAGAAGAGGAAAGUGGAAUUCCAUGUGUAGCGGUGAAAUGCGUAGAGAUAUGGAGGAACACCAGUGGCGAAGGCGACUUUCUGGUCUGUAACUGACACUGAGGCGCGAAAGCGUGGGGAGCAAACAGGAUUAGAUACCCUGGUAGUCCACGCCGUAAACGAUGAGUGCUAAGUGUUAGAGGGUUUCCGCCCUUUAGUGGUGAAGUUAACGCAUUAAGCACUCCGCCUGGGGAGUACGGCCGCAAGGCUGAAACUCAAAGGAAUUGACGGGGGCCCGCACAAGCGGUGGAGCAUGUGGUUUAAUUUGAAGCAACGCGAAGAACCUUACCAGGUCUUGACAUCCUUUGACAACCCUAGAGAUAGGGCUUCUCCUUCGGGAGCAGAGUGACAGGUGGUGCAUGGUUGUCGUCAGCUCGUGUCGUGAGAUGUUGGGUUAAGUCCCGCAACGAGCGCAACCCUUGAUUUUAGUUGCCAUCAUUUAGUUGGGCACUUUAAGGUGACUGCCGGUGACAAACCGGAGGAAGGUGGGGAUGACGUCAAAUCAUCAUGCCCCUUAUGACCUGGGCUACACACGUGCUACAAUGGACGGUACAAAGAGCUGCAAGACCGCGAGGUGGAGCUAAUCUCAUAAAACCGUUCUCAGUUCGGAUUGUAGGCUGCAACUCGCCUACAUGAAGCUGGAAUCGCUAGUAAUCGCGGAUCAGCAUGCCGCGGGGAAUACGUUCCCGGGCCUUGUACACACCGCCCGUCACACCACGAGAGUUUGUAACACCCGAAGUCGGUGGGGUAACCUUUUUGGAGCCAGCCGCCUAAG
rnacentral:rRNA from 1 species